rnacentral:rRNA from 1 species
CACGGGGGGAGCAAGCGUUGGUCGGAAUCACUGGGCGUAAAGGGCGUGUAGGCGGUCAAGUAAGUGGGAUGUGAAAUGCCCCGGCUCACCCGGGGACCUGCAUCCCAAACUGCUUGGCUCGAGUAUGGGAGAGGAUGAGGGAAUUCCUGGUGUAGCGGUGAAAUGCGUAGAUAUCAGGAGGAACACCGGUGGCGAAAGCGCUCAUCUGGCCCAAUACUGACGCUGAGGCGCGAAAGCUAGGGGAGCAAACGGG